rnacentral:rRNA from 1 species
GAUGAACGCUGGCGGCGUGCUUAACACAUGCAAGUCGAACGGGAUCCAAGGAGCGUUUUUCGUUUUUUGGUGAGAGUGGCGAACGGGUGAGUAACACGUGAGUAACCUGUCCUUUUCUUUGGGAUAAGCUCCUGAAAGGGUGUUUAAUACCUUAUGUUCUGUCUGCCUCGCAUGGGGUGGGUGGGAAAGAUUUUUUCGGUGAAGGGUGGGCUCGCGGUCUAUCAGCUUGUUGGUGGGGUGAUGGCUUACCAAGGCUUUGACGGGUAGCCGGCCUGAGAGGGGGGGGGGACACAUUGGGGGUGAGGACUGCCCCGGGCCUCUGGGGGAGGGAACAGGGGGGAAUUUGGCAAAGGGGGACGAAGCCUGUCCGCGGGAGGGAGGGUGGGGUUAGGAGCGUUAGGGGUUGUAAUUUUUUGUUGACAUAAACGGGGGGAAUUUUGGGGGUGUGUUGGGUGGGGGGUGUGAAUGGCCCGGCUAACCACGUG